AGCCUGGGAACCUCCAUAUGCUGCAAGUGCAGCCCUAAAAAAAGACAAAAGACACACACAAAAAAGACCUGAACAUGCUGUCCACAGAAACCUUCCAUAACUAUGAAAACACAGAUAAAAAGUACAGAAACAGAGAAAGAUACAUCAUGCUUUCAAAAGAAAGAUGAAGAAGCUAUAUUACUAAUAAGGCAAAAGGCUUAAGAACAAGGAAAAUCACCUGGGAUAGGAAGGGCAACAUAAUGUAAAAAGUGUCAGUUCUCCAAAAAGACAUUAACAAUCUUUAAUGUGUCUGUUUUUACACAUUUUGCUGUCAAAAUACUUGAGGGAAAAACUGACCAAGCUGCAAGAAGAAAAAGACAAAGCCACUGUUAUAACUGAAGAUAUCAACAUCCCUCUAUCAGUAACUGACAGAUCCAGGAGCAGAAACUCAGCAAGGAUAUAGCUGAACUGAACAGCACCAUCAAUCAACUGGAUCUAAUUAACAUUUAUAGAAUAUUUUAUCCAAAAAAGCAGAAUACACAUUCUUCUCAAGCUCACACAGGAACAAUCAUUAAACACAUGUUAAUAAUUGUAAAAGUACAGACAAUUACACAAGGUAUGCUCUCAGAACACAAUGGAAUUAAAUUUAAGUGGUAAACUAAACUUAAUCAGUAUCAGAAAGAUAGGUGGAAAAUCCCAAAAUAUUUGGAGUAAACUACACUCUUCUAAAUAAACACAUUGGGUCAAGUCACGUAAAUUUUAAAUUGUACUGAACUAAAUGAAAAUGAAAAAAACAUCAAAAUUUGUGUGAUGCAGCCAAGGAAAGAAUAUAGUACUGAAUGCAUAUAUUAGAAGAGAAGAUAGGUCUAAAAUCAAUCACCUAGGAGUUCCCAUCAUGGCGCAGCAGAAACCUGAAUCCGACUAGGAACCAUGAGGUUGUGGGUUUGAUCCCUAGCCUUGCUCAUGGGUAAGGAUCUGGUGUUGCCAUGGGCUGUGGUGUAGGUUGCAAAUAUGGCUUGGAUAUGGCGUUGUUGUGGCUGAUCUGGCAUUGCCACAGCUGCAGUGUAGGUCGAAACUGUGCCUCAGAUCUGAUCCCUGGUCUGGGAAUUCCACAUGCUGCGGGGAAUAUAUGGCUGUAAUUGUAUGUCAGUCUUCUAAAAGUUCAGUUUUACAUGUCUGUUCAUGUAAAAUUCACAAAUAAAUUCAAAGUUAUAACAUAAUUAAUAACUGAAAUGUUUGAUUUUAAUGCUCUCCUCAAAGAUUAAUAAGACGUCAUAACAGCAAGUCACAUUAUAGAUCACUGUAGCAAAGAAUUAAAAUUUGAGUGCUUUUCUGACUUUUUAAAUCAUUAUAUGGAACAUAAGCAGUUUGGUGAUAUUAACUUUGAAAACAAGUUUAUUAUAGGUGACAAUCAACUUUUCUCUUUCAAAUUUCAGAACACCCACACUCUGUAUCUUAUAUGCUUAGAGCUCUCAGUCUUUCCUUUUGUAAAUUCAGAAUGUUUAUCAGUUGAUCCAGCCAACGGUUCAAGCUACUAUGUCAGCCAAAAUGCCACAUGCUGACAUGCCCCACAUGCCAGCCAACAUUUGUUUCUAAAGCACUGCCAUCUUUACAGUUCAGUGUCCAUUUUUAUAGUCUUAAAAUGUUAUUGUAUUUCUAUUAUUUUACAAGAAUGGAAAAUGAAAAUACAAAGGCCUACUAGAAACAUUAAUUCAACUGAAACAAUAAUAGGCAUUAUUAGGUGAUCCAAGUCUACUUUUAACUAGCUUAAACAUAAAUGAAAUGUUGAAAAAAAUAGCUAAAAGAUCAUAUCAAUAGCUAAAGUACAAGUGCACCAUUUAUGGAUUUAUUCACUCUCACUUCUAAACUCACCCUUUUUGCCUACUCUUUGAAAAUGGAUUUGGGUCCUUUAAGUACUUUGCCAGCCCGCACAAGAGUAGGCUCUGUCAGUAGAACAGAUAGGAGAAUCAACUUAGGACAUAGUGGGUGUCUUUGCUUCCUCCCUAAUGAACUGGGGGGUGUUUUUGCUUCCCAGUUCAAAUAUGCUUAUCCAAAAGACUCUCACAGCACAUGAGGCUUCUCUAGCCCUCAGUUUCUGCAGUAAAGAUGCUUCUCUAGCAACCUGUUCCUACAGCAUAUGCAGCUCGCCCGAAGCCCAGCUCAUGUGUGCACGCAAGCAGCUUCUUUAGCACCAAGCUCUUCCAUCAGAAAUGUAUGUUACUUGCGGUACUUUUUUUAGUCUCUUCAUUUUUAGCAGGCCUUUUCAAACUAAUGUCUUGGAUUUUCAGCUCAGAAAAAUUUUCUUCUUUUUCAAAAUGUCUUCUCUAUUUUUUCUGGUAUCUUUCUAGACUUACUAGAUAGAAGGUGCUGGGCUGCUAUAUCAGGUUGUACUUUGCACAAGAAGAUUCCCAAUAAGGAGUAAAAGCUGAAAUCCAGCCUGAGUCCCACUUACCAAGUCCUGUAUCCUGAUCAAAAAGCAUCAUUUUCUCAUUAAGCCAGGUGUUGUGAAAAUGAACAAGUGUACCUUCUGGGUCAAAGCUAACCUCGAUCUCUCAAGUUUUCACUAUUACCUUAUCUUUUUCUUUUUGCUCUAGAUUUCAGGUCAUUUGCUAUGUAUAUGUAUGUAACUACAGAAGAAAUAGAUGUGUAUGUACGUAACCAUAAAAAAAAAGAUCAUUUUUGUGGAAGCUCCAUCCUAAGUCUAGUAUCUUGCGCCUCAGCCCCUCAAAAUAGAUUAUUUUAUGACCGUGAAGCUUCAGGAUUUUAAAAAGUUGCCCAAGUAACCUGAACGUGCAAAACAAAAUUGGAAUCUACUGCUGUCAGGUAAUGGUACUCAAGCUUUUUUGCUCAAAUACUCCCUAAAAUAAUUUUGAAAAUUUAUGCAUAUCCUCACAAUUUUAAAACUGGCAGGCAAAAUUUUUCAUAUUUUAUAAUGAUUUUAAAAGUUGUAAUUUCCAGUGAACUCUAAAUAUUGUCAUUUUAAAUAAAGCUUUUAUAUUUUUUCUUUCAAAAAUAUCAAUAUAAAACAUCAUCUAUUUUUAAAAACAUAUAGGAUCUUCUAAUACAGUAAAAAAUUGAUAUUAUUCCUGCUUUUCCUUAAAUUUCCACAGAAUUUUAACUAGUGUAAUACUACUCUAUGCUGCAGGGUCUUUUAUAUUUCACUCUACAUGACUUCUCUGUAAAAAAAGAAUAUAAAUAAAAAUUAAACUUUUUUGGUUUUGAUCCAGAAAUUUUAAAAAAUUUCUUCUGAAUCCUAUUAUAAGUACACCACUAACCAAAACAAUAUAAAUAUAUUAUAAACUUUGACAGAUAAUGAUUAAAUAUUGAGUAAAAUGAUAUUAAAAGUGACAACAAAUACAUAGGCAGAAUUUUUUCUGGCUUUUUUUUACAAUGCUUACAUAAAUACAUGGGAACAGAAUUUGUUAGUAUUGUUAAUCUUUUGACUAUUCCUACCUUCUGAAUCAUAUGCCGAAAAUCACAUAAUUAGCUAUCAUUAAAAAAAAUUUUUUUGGAGUUCCUGCCGUGGUGCAGAGGGUUAAGUAUUCGGCAUUGUCUCUAUAGUGGCUUGGGUCACUGCUGGGGUGCGGGUUCAAUCCCCAGCCUGGCACAAUGGGUUAAGGAUCUGGUGUUGCCACAGCUGUGGUAUAGGUGGCAGCUGUAGCUCAGAUGCAAAGAAAAAAAUUUUUUUUUAAUUUUUGGCUGUGGCCUCAGCAUGUAGAAGUUCCCAGGCCAAGGAUCAAGCCUGUGCCAUAGCAGCAACCCAAGCCACAGUAGUAACAACACUGGAUCCUUAACUUAUUGCACCACCAGGGAACUCCUAAAAAUUAUUUUUUAUGAUUUACCAAUAGACAAAUUGAUUAGGUCAAAGGAGGACCUUUUAUUUUGUUUAAAAGGAAAGAAUUGAGAGCAACCAAUUUUACAAGAGGAUUCUUCUUUUUUUAGUCAUUCAUUUCCUCGAUUUCAAUACCAAAUUUUACAACAGUCCCUUUGUUUGGCACUUUGGAGACUUUUACAUCUAUGGAAUAUAAGAGAAGCACGCCUCUUUUGCAACCAUGAAACAGAAUAUAGGAUGGCUAGAAGACUUCGAGGUGCGGGCAAAUCACCUGGGGUUCUUGUUAAAAAUGCAGAUCAUGAUUCAAUAGGUCUGGGGUGGGUCUGAGAUUCUGCAUUUCUAACAAGCACCUAAUAAGGGCAAUGCUGCCGGUGAGUGAGAUACACUUUUGAGUAGAAAGGGCCUAAACCACAGGCCAAUAAAUGUUUAAGAGAGAAUACACAAUAAUACUCAAGAAACUGAAUCCCUUAAAAUGAUUUUUGCCUCUGUACCCCUUGGAAAGUCUACAUGUACCCCCAGGGAUAAGCAUGCCUCAAUUUAAAGACAGCUGCUCAAAAUCAGCAACUAAAAAUGGAAAUUACUGGUUCUGAAGAGUAUUUAAAUUUUUAAAUUUUAAACCACUGACUUUAGUCACAUCACCUCUCUCUCUUUUUUUGGGGGGGGGGCCACACUCAUGAUCUGUGGACAUUCCCGGGCCAAGGACUGAACCUGGGCCAUGGCAGAGUCACAUCACUUUUCUAUUGAAAAUUAUUUGAUGGUUCCUCACUUCCUGAAAAAUAAAAUUAACACUAACACAGGAUUAAGAUCCUUUAAUGUGUGUUUAUAAUCAAGUAAAUCAUAUACACUCACACACAAUCUCUACUUUUUCUUUAUUUAAAGGUACUAUUUAUUUGUUAAUUUAAAAAAAUUUUAAACUUCGGGCAAUGUUCAAAGAACAGGCAUUUAAAAAAUUAAAGUCAACACAAUUACUACACCCAAGAGAUAAUCACUGUUAAGACUCUGAGUAACUUUCUACAGCAGAAAUUAUCACAACAUUGUAAAUCAACUAUACUUUAACAAUUCUUUAAAAAAUGAAAAAAAAGACCUUUGUAAAUUCUUUGCAGUCUUUUCUAUAUGCAUAAGCAUACAAAUGAGUGUGUGUGUGUGUGUGUGUGUGUGUGCGCGUGCACGCGCGCGCUUAAAGAUAAAAUGGAGCAAAUCACUUAAUAAAGAGUUGGGUUUGGUUUUUCUUGACCUAUGCGUUUUUUAUAUGCCAUUAUAUCUACAGCAUUAAAAAAUAUGCUAAAACUUACAUUUUAAUGGCAGCUAUUGCCCAUCAUAAUUCAAGGGUAUCUCAAAAAAAUUGUUCUGUUAAAUCUAGUAAAUCUCAGAUUUACACAACUCUAUCAAUAAUAUUACAUACUUGCUAGAGGAUUAAUUUGCAACCCAUGCAUUAUAUUUCACAUAAAUAUGAAAAUAAUUACUGCCCUAAGUGCCCUGGAAAAGCAGGUUAAAAUACUAUAAACAUUUAAAAAAUAUCCUAAUUUUCUUAAAAGAAUGAAAUAAAAUUCAAAGAAUUUUGUUUUCAUUAUACUUAAAUUUUUGCAUAGAAAGUGGCAAAUCUCCUAAAUGCAUUUGUGAUAAGUGAAUGUUUAUUUCUCCUAAUAUGCAGAAUCAUAAAGGAAGUAUGAGUAAAUAGAGGGAAGAAAUUCACUGACAAAUAAUGAGUAGAAUAAAUGUUAAUUGUUCAGAGGGGAAUAUGGCAAGUGACUCUGAAAUGCUAUCAGCCAAGCUGCCUUCAGUAAACAACAUCUUCUGUAAUCAGCCAAGCUGCCUUCAAUAAACAGUAUCUAUAACCGUAAAUAUGAAACAAAUCUGAAUAUAAACUGAAAGAUUUACUUUUUAAUGUAAAAAGUGGUGAAUGUGAAGAGAAGUAUCAGCAGGUAAACUGGUUCACACAUAUAAUAUCUAAGGAAGAAGUACCUGAUGAAUGACCCAGCCUGUAUCAAGUGUCCUAUAUUACCGUCUGGGAAAAGUCUACCUCAAGCCAUCUUCCUGGUUCUGAUAUGUUAUACUAACUCCACAAGUUCCAAAUGUUAACCUAAUUUCCCAAAUAGGAGUUGUUGAAUAUGCACAAGAGUAAAAAUAAAUACCUGCAUUCAAGGAAUUUGAAGAACAGUAAAAUAAAUCAGAUCUGUAUUAAAGGAAAUCAUAGCUCAUUUACCUCUUCCAAGAAGUCUCUACUCAAGCCCAAGCCAAGAGUAAAAGCUCCAUCCCCUGAAUCUCACUUCUGAGGCAUUUACUGCUUUUAUCAUUCAUCUGAACUUAGCUUUUGCUAUAUUCUAUUGUACUAUUAUAUGUAUAGAAGCUCAUCACCAGAAAUUCUUUCUUGUAACUUCAAAUAGGACUGCUCUUAUUCAAGAAUUAGAGGCACCCAAUAACUUGUUUAUGGCAUGGAUAGCCAAAAAGGUGAAAAGCCAAAAUUGUGACUCAAAUACCACAAUGCAGCAAUAAAAGUAUAAAAAAAAAACAGUUUUCUUUAACUGUCAUCCACAGUAGCAUUUUAGGCUGUAGAAAAUGGAGAUGGUGAUAGAUAUCAAACACUUAAACUUUCAGAACUGAGAUAUGUAAAUUUUCCAAUCAUCCGAAAUUUUAAAUUCUGGAAGAAACUUCUGUCAAACUUAUAGUUAUUUUCAGUUCUUUUAAAAUCUAUACCUCAGUUUUUUUAAGGAAGGAAUUCAUAAACAACUUAAAUUUCAUAAAUAUCUCCCAUUCAAACUUUAGGAAAAAAAUAUCAACUUUCAACUAACAUCCCCACCACAAACUAUUUAGCAAAAGAUGUGUGAACCCAUGUAUAUCUCCACCUAAGUAUGUACACUGAUAGGUAGGUAAAUAGUUUAAAAGAUGAAGACAUGGAGCUAAUCCAUAUACAUGCAUUCUGAACAAAAAUACAAGAUCAAGGACUAGCUCAACCAUCACAGAAAGUUCUUAGAGUAACAGACCUGAAGUCAAGUGAUUUGCUAUCUAAUUUCAGAUGGUCACUCUCCUUCUAGAGCUUCAAAUCAUAUGCACUACUUCAAUAACAGAGAAAAAAAAAAAAAUCAACCAAGAACAGCAUGGCAGUUCCUUAAUCAGUUAAACUUAUGACCCACUUAUCAUAUGACCCAACAAUUCCAUUCCAAGGCAUUUAUCAAAGAAAAAUUAAAACAUAAAACCACGCAAAAACUUGUAAACAAAUGUUCACAGCAACAUUAUUCAUUAAUAGCCAAAAAAGUGGAUACAAGCUAAAUGUCCACCUACUAACAGAUAAACAAAAUGUGGUAUAUCCAUACAAUUGAGUAUUACCUGCCAUGAAAAGGAUAAUACCAAUGCAUGCUACAACAUGCAUGAACCUUGAAAAAGUAUACCAAAUGAAUGAAGCCAAUCACAAAGACUAUAUUAUAUGAUUUCAGUUAUAUGAAAUGUCUGGAAUAGGCAAAUCUAUAGAGACAGAAAGUAAACUAAUGGUUGCUCAGGGAUGGACGAGUUAGCAGAUAAUAACAAAGGGUAUACUUUUCUUUUUGAGGUUAUGAAAAUGUUUUUAAAACUGACUGCAAUGAUGGUUGCAUAUAUUUGUGAACACACUAAAAAGUACUGAAUUGUACAUUUUAAGAAGUUGAAUGCAUAAAAUGAAAAUUACCAAAAAACUUUUAAAACUAGAUAGAUAAGAAGCUAUGCAUCUAGAUAAUUAUCUAGAAGCUAUCUAAUUUUCCAAGCAGAAACAAAUCCAACUAGGAACCAUGAGGUUGAGAGUUCAAUCCCUGGCCUCGCACAGUGGACAUUGCCAUGAGUUGUGGUAUAGGUCGCGUGUGCGGCUCAGAUCUGACGUUGCUGUGGCUGUGGCACAGGCUGGCAGGUAUAGCUCUGAUUUGACCUCUAGCUUGGGAACCUCCAUAUUAGGGUUAGGGUGCAGCCUAAAAAGCAAACGAAACAAAACAAAACAACCCUACCAGGGAGUUCCCAUUAUGGCUUAGCAGGUUAAGAACCCAACAUAGUAUCCAUGUGCAGGUGCAGCCCUAAAAAGCAAACAAAACAAAACAAAACAAAACACAACAAACCCUAUCAGGGAAUUCCCAUUGUGGCUUAGCAGGUUAAGAACCCAACAUAGUAUCCAUGAGGAUUCAGGUUUGAUCCCUGCCCUCGGCCAAGAUAUUAAGGAUCCAGUGUUGCUGCAAGCUGCAGCAUAGAAGAUAGAACGUUGCCUUGGCCUACCCCUUAGCUACAGCUCUGAUUCUACCCUAGCCCAGGAAUUCCCAUUAUGCCACAGGUGUGGCUGUUAAAAAAAAAAAAAAAAAAAAAA
rnacentral:lncRNA from 1 species